AAGGGUAAAGGCUGUGCAUAAGUUGACAAUUUGAAGUCCCAAGAAAAUUAGUGAUUGCUCCAUUGAGAUGGUUUUUGCCACAACAAAACUUUAAUGAUGGUUCCAUUAAUCAUGCAACCCGUCUCAUAACUCCUUUUCAGUGAGAGG